rnacentral:rRNA from 1 species
UGGGCGUAAAGAGCGUUGAGGCGGUUCCGUAAGUUGGGCGUGAAAGCUCCGGGCUUAACCCGGAGAUGUCGUUCAAUACUGCGGGGCUUGAGGACAGCAGAGGAAGGUGGAAUUCCCGGUGUAGUGGUGAAAUGCGUAGAUAUCGGGAGGAACACCCGUGGCGAAGGCGGCCUUCUGGGCUGUUCCUGACGCUGAAGGCGAAAGCUAGGGGAGCGAACGGGAUUAGAUACCCCGGUAGUCCUAGCUGUAAACGAUGGAUGCUGGGUGUGGGGGGUGUAAAUUCCCUCUGUGCCGAAGCAAACGCGUUAAGCAUCCCGCCUGGGGACUACGGCCGCAAGGCUAAAACCCAAACGAAUUGACGGGGGCCCGCACAAGCAGCGGAGCGUGUGGUUUAAUUCGAUGCUACACGAAGAACCUUACCUGGGUUUGACAUGCACGUGGUAGGGAACCGAAAGGGGACCGACCUUCGGGAGCGUGCACAGGUGCUGCAUGGCUGUCGUCAGCUCGUGCCGUGAGGUGUCGGGUUAAGUCCCGUAACGAGCGCAACCCUUGCCCUUAGUUACAAGUGUCUAAGGGGACUGCCCGGGACAACUGGGAGGAAGGUGGGGAUGACGUCAAGUCAGCAUGGCCUUUAUAUCCAGGGCUACACACACGCUACAAUGGCCAGUACAAUAGGUAGCCAAGUCGUGAGACGGAGCCAAUCCUUAAAGCUGGUCUCAGUUCGAAUUGCAGUCUGCAACUCGACUGCAUGAAGCUGGAGUUGCUAGUAAUCGCAGGUCAGCCAUACUGCGGUGAUACGUUCCCGGGCCUUGUACACACCGCCCGUCACGUCAUGGAAGCUGGCAACGCCUGAAGCCGGUGAGCUAACCCGAAAGGGGGCAGCCGUCGAGGGUGGGGCUGGUCACUGGGACGAAGUCGUNACAAG